rnacentral:rRNA from 1 species
AACGUAGGACACAAGCGUUAUCCGGAGUUACUGGGCGUAAAGGGCGUGUAGGCGGAGAUGUAAGUCUAUUCUGAAAGCUCCUGGCUAAACUGGGAGAGGCGAAUGGAGACUGCAUAUCUAGAGUGAGGAAGAGGAAAGUGGAAUUCCGCGUGUAGUGGUGAAAUGCGUAGAGAUGCGGAGGAACACCAGUGGCGAAGGCGGCUUCCUGGCCUGUUCUUGACGCUGAGGCGCGAAAGCUAGGGGAGCAAACGGGG